rnacentral:rRNA from 1 species
GACGAACGCUGGCGGCGUGCUUAACACAUGCAAGUCGAACGGUGAAGGGGCCUGCUUUUGUGGGCCCUGGAUGAGUGGCGAACGGGUGAGUAACACGUGAGUAACCUGCCCCCUUCUUCUGGAUAACCGCAUGAAAGUGUGGCUAAUACGGGAUAUUCUGGGUCUGUCGCAUGAUGGGUCUGGGAAAGAUUGCGCCUUUGGGUGUUUUUGGUGGGGGAUGGGCUCGCGGCCUAUCAGCUUGUUGGUGGGGUGAUGGCCUACCAAGGCGGUGACGGGUAGCCGGCCGGAGAGGGUGGACGGUGAGACUGGGACUGAGACACGGCCCAGACUCCUACGGGAGGCAGCAGUGGGGAAUAUUGCACAAUGGGCGCAAGCCUGAUGCAGCGACGCCGCGUGAGGGAUGGAGGCCUUCGGGUUGUAAACCUCUUUCGCCAGUGAAGCAGGCCUGCGCCUUGUGGGUGGGUUGACGGUAGCUGGAUAAGAAGCGCCGGCUAACUACGUG